rnacentral:snoRNA from 1 species
GAAUGAUAUGAUGAUUUGAUUAAUUUCCCUAUUGGUUUGAUUGUCGAUAUAAUGGCAAAUCAUGUAUUAGCUCUAUUUGAUCAUUC